rnacentral:rRNA from 1 species
CAGCCGUAAACUAUGCGCGUUAGGUGUACUGGUGACCACGAGUCACCGGGUGCCGAAGGGAAACCGUGAAACGUGCCGCCUGGGAAGUACGGUCGCAAGGCUGAAACUUAAAGGAAUUGGCGGGGGAGCACCGCAACGGGAGGAGCGUGCGGUUUAAUUGGAUUCAACACCGUAAAACUCACCAGGGAAGACUGUUACAUGAAGGCCGAGAUGAAGACUCUGCUAGAUUUUCAGAGAGGUGGUGCAUGGCGUCAGUGACU